UGUUCGUACUACACGUAUAACCGCGUUUAUAACGUUUAUUAAUUAAUAACUUAACAAAUAUUAUAAUUAUUAAAUAUAUCUGUAGAUACGAGAAGAAACAAUCGAAGUGUGUAAUAUCCAGGAAUAAUAAUAAUAAUAAUAAUAAUAAAACA